GUCCAGGGAUGGGAAUCGAAUCACAGUGUUCCGCUUACCGGGCAGAUGCCAUGUCCACUAGGCUACCCUGGA
rnacentral:tRNA from 1 species